CUGCUGCCUCCCGUAGGAGUCUGGUCCGUGUCUCAGUACCAGUGUGGGGGACCUUCCUCUCAGAACCCCUACGCAUCGUCGCCUUGGUGGGCCGUUACCCCGCCAACUAGCUAAUGCGCCGCAUGCCCAUCCUCCGCCGGAAUCGCUUCCUUUUAACACCCGUGGGAUGCCCCUCAGAUGUACCACGCGGUAUUAGUCCGGAUUUCUCCGGGUUAUCCCCCUGCGGAGGGCAGGUUGCAUACGUGUUACUCACCCGUGCGCCGGUCGCCGG
rnacentral:rRNA from 1 species